CCUACGGGUGACAGCAGUGAGGAAUAUUGGUCAAUGGACGAGAGUCUGAACCAGCCACGUAGCGUGAAGGAUGACUGCCCUAUGGGUUGUAAACUUCUUUUAUAAAGGAAUAAAACGAGGCACGUGUGCCUUUUUGCAUGUACUUUAUGAAUAAGGAUCGGCUAACUCCGUGCCAGCAGCCGCGGUAAUACGGAGGAUCCGAGCGUUAUCCGGAUUUAUUGGGUUUAAAGGGAGCGUAGAUGGGUUGUUAAGUCAGUUGUGAAAGGUUGCGGCUCAACCGUAAAAUUGCAAUUGAUACUGGCAGUCUUGAGUACAGUUGAGGUAGGCGGAAUUCGUGGUGUAGCGGUGAAAUGCUUAGAUAUCACGAAGAACCCCGAUUGCGAAGGCAGCUUACUAAACUGUGACUGACAUUGAUGCUCGAAAGUGUGGGUAUCAAACAGGAUUAGAUACCCUGGUAGUC
rnacentral:rRNA from 1 species